GACGAACGCUGGCGGCGUGCCUAAUACAUGCAAGUAGGACGCAGUUGCGAACGGGUGAGUAACGCGUAGGUAACUACCUAUUAGAGGGGGAUAACUAUUGGAAACGAUAGCUAAUACCGCAUACUAGUAGAUGGACCUGCGUUGUAUUAGCUAGUAGGUAGGGUAAUGGCCUACCUAGGCAACGAGACAUAGCCGACCUGGGAGGGUGAUCCGGCACACUGGGACUUGGACACCGCCCAGACUCCUACGGGAUGGAGGCAUUGGGGAUCUUCGGAAAUGGGGGGAACCCCUGCCGCGCAACGCCGCGGGGGUGAAGAAGGUUUUCGGAUCGUAAAGCUCUGUUGUUAAGGAAGCGGUACUUAACCAGAAAGGGACGGCUAACUACGUGCCAGCAGCCGCGGUAAUUC
rnacentral:rRNA from 1 species